GUGGGUAACCUGCCUUUUACUGUGGAAUAAUCGUUGGAAACGACGACUAAUACCGCAUACGGUUCUUGGAAGGCAUCUUCUAAGAAAGAAAGGAGUAAUUCGGUAAAAGAUGGGCCCGCAUCUGAUUAGCUAGUUGGUGAGAUAACAGCCCACCAAGGCAACGAUCAGUAGCCGACCUGAGAGGGUGACCGGCCACAUUGGGACUGAGACACGGCCCAAACUCCUACGGGAGGCAGCAGUGGGGAAUAUUGCACAAUGGGGGAAACCCUGAUGCAGCAACGCCGCGUGAAGGAAGACGGUUUUCGGAUUGUAAACUUCUAUCAAUAGGGAAGAAAGAAAUGACGGUACCUAAAUAAGAAGCCCCGGCUAACUACGUGCCAGCAGCCGCGGUAAUACGUAGGGGGCAAGCGUUAUCCGGAAUUACUGGGUGUAAAGGGAGAGUAGGCGGCAAGGUAAGCGAUAUGUGAAAGCCUUAGGCUUAACCAAAGGAUUGCAUAACGAACUAUCUAGCUAGAGUACAGGAGAGGAAAGCGGAAUUCCUAGUGUAGCGGUGAAAUGCGUAGAUAUUAGGAAGAACACCAGUGGCGAAGGCGGCUUUCUGGACUGAAACUGACGCUGAGGCUCGAAAGCGUGGGGAGCGAACAGGAUUAGAUACCCUGGUAGUCCACGCUNGUAACGAUGAGUGCUAGGUGUCGGGGAGGAAUUCCCGGUGCCGGAGCAAACGCAAUAAGCACUCCACCUGGGGAGUACGANCGCAAGGUUGAAACUCAAAGGAAUUGAC
rnacentral:rRNA from 1 species